UACAGAGGUCCCAAGCGUUGUUCGAAUUCACUGGGCGUAAAGGGUGCGUAGGUGGUGAGGUAAGUUUGAUGUGAAAUCUCCGGGCUUAACCCGGAAAUGGCAUUGAAUACUAUCUUGCUAGAGGAGUGGAGGGGGGACUGGAAUACUUGGUGUAGCAGUGAAAUGCGUAGAUAUCAAGUGGAACACCAGUGGCGAAGGCGAGUCCCUGGACACUUCCUGACACUGAGGCACGAAAGCUAGGGGAGCAAACAGG
rnacentral:rRNA from 1 species